UGUUUUAAUCCCUUUUUAAUACCUUUAAACAAGCAUUCCUUGUGUAUAUACAAGCUGAAUCUCUGAAAAAGUUCCAACAAUUUAAAUGAAAUUUAAUAUGCAGGGGUUUCGGAGGUUUACUGUUAGUAGGUGCGCCAAAAAAAAUUUGAACAAAGCUCACAGAGAUAUUCAUAUAAUGCACAAGUAUGAGACAAAUAUUUUAGCAUUCCAUGGAUUCAUGGUGAUCCUCUUGCACCUUCUAUGGUGUACAGAUACAGACUAACUACAUAGCCAUUUUUAGUCAAUUCAUUUUUUAUACUACAGCCUUUCUUAAUGAGUACUGUUUACCAACAAAUAAAUUAGAAAUGAAGGUAGAUAACACAUGUCUUUUUAUAACUUAUUUAUUUUAAAUUAUGUAUGGUUUGUUUAUAAAAUGUUAUAUAAAAUAUAUUUACCAUAUCUGAUUGUUCUAUGGUAAUUAAUCAAAUUUAUUUUCAUUAAUUUAAGAGCAAGUUAAUUAUAAUUAUUACUAGCGGACACCCGCAACUUCGUCCGUGUGAAAAUCGAAACACACUUUCAACCCUUUCGCCACUUCUAUGUAUAUUUUCAUAUGUUUUAUAUCACACCAUCACACUUCACGAAGACUUUGUGUGCAAGUGUGUAAGUAUGUUGUUGUAUGAUGAUGAAGAUUAAGGACAGUUAAUGGAAUUCCUCAACAGUUUCAAGUAGCUACUUUGUGAUUGGGUUUGAUUAAUUUGUAUUGAUGAGGAGUUUUCACCUAGAUGGGUUGUGACUGUUAUUAGGGGUCUGGUUAGGAAUACGAAAGACACUUAACGGAACUCUUCAACGAUUUACAGUAGCUACCUUUUGUUAGGAAUUUAAGUUGUGUAAUCAUGUCAUCUCUUUUUAUUUUUAUUUAUUUAUAACAAUAUUUAUAUUAGAUAUAAUAACAUCACCAUUAGGUAAUGACCAGGAUUUCUCUCUGGGGCACGCAGGUCUGAGUCUGACACCACCAAGUGUCUCCUGCUACUAAAAUUUCUCUUAACAAGUUCAGUGCCACAUCACACGACGUCGCGUGAAACGGCCUUUUACGCUGAGGCCGGUAACGCGACGUCGCGUGGUGAUGACUAACAAUCUUGUACGAGCUAUAGAACAUCAGCUGUAUCAUAUUGGCUUUUAGUAUUUAUUCGGCCACUAAAGGAAGAAAUGAACUUUUGACUAGUAGGCGUGGCUUGCUGAUCUUGUUUUUCUUUUGUUUGCUUUUGCUAGUUCUGCAUUGAGCAGCCGCGAGGUCAAGGUAAAUUUUUAAUUUACCAAUGAAAUUUUAUAAUUCAAGUUACCAAUAUAUUAUGAUUUUUAUAAAUAACUAACGGACCCCCGCGACUUCUUUCCGCGUGAAAAGCGAUGUAAACUUUCAAUCCCUAUUUCACAACCUUCUAUAUAUAUUUUUGCAAGUUUUUUAAAGUAUAAUAAAUAGUCCACUAAUUUUACUUAAGUUUCAUUUGAAUUCAUUCAGUAGUUUUAGCGUGGUGCGCGGUAGACAGACAGACAGACAAAAAUAACAAAAAAGUGUUUUGGGCCUCAGUAUCGAUCAUAUUAGGGGUUAAAGUAUGAAAUUGCCGAUCUGUACUGAAAAUCUAAAUUGUUUAUUUUUUAAUUUUUAACAAAUUUAUUUAAUCAAAAUAGUUGCCAUUAUUAUCUAUACAUUGCUGACAUCUAAUGGGAAGGUCAUUAAUGCCUUUGCGAUAGAACUCCGACGAUCUAGACUGCAAAAACUGUGUGAAAGCAUUUUGUACUGCCUCCUGGGAAGAAAACUUCUUGUCACGUAGAUAAUUGUCCAAAUCACGAAAAAAAUGGUAGUCCGUUGGAGCAAGGUCUGGUGAAUACGGAAGAUGACGAAUAGUUUCUAACUGCAGUUCCUGAAGAGUUAAAAUGGUUUCUCGUGCUGUGUGAGGUCUCGCGUUGUCGUGGAGCAAUAAUAGUGAAGAUCGAUUCAUGAGUCGGGGCUGUUUAACUGCUAGUUUUGUCAACAUGGUUCGGAGUUCGGCACAAUAGACAUCUGCUGUUAUUGCUUGACCAGAUCGGAGAAAACUAUAGUGAAUAACACCAUGCUGAGACCACCAAACAGUUACCAUUACCUUUUUAUUGGUAAGAUUUGCUUUAGGACACAUAUGAGGGGGAAACAGCGGGGCGUCUUUUAGCGGCAUUUUUGCGUCUUUGCUGAAAUUUUGUAUUAUCUUCGAAACUAUAUGACUAAUUAACAUACUGUAAAAGGCAAAUCUUAUCUCUAUAAUAUCCUCUUGAUUAUUAGGUAAUUAAUUUUGAUAAGGAUUUAUGUUUACUUGUGUAAAUAAAAAUGAAUUUUAUAGUUAUAGUAAAUUAAAAUUUUUUGUAUGUCAUUAGGUAAUAGAGUAUGAAACGCUGUCAAACUUGAUAUUCGUGUUUCUAUACCUACUAAAAUUGUCAAAGUACGUCAUUUUAUUUGGACGGUGUUAAGCUGUUAUGUAUCAAACCACAAAAUGUGCGAAAUUGAACUUUGAAUGCAGUUUAGUUCAAAAUUUCAUAAAGAACACCACCGUAUUAUUAUAAUAAUAUUUUCUUCUAUACUUUUUUCAUAUUUUGGUUACAUUGGUACAUUAUUGCAAUCUAAUCAGAUGGUUAUAUAAUUCACAAUCAAACUAUUGUAUUUAGCGUUUAUGUGAUAUACUGCAUUGGAUGUAAAGGAAAAUAAUCUAUUGCGCUAUUCCUAUUUUUGCCUUAAUGUACUAUCCCUCCUUGAUACCUACACAUAAUUUGUUUUUAAAUUCAACCGACUUUAAAACUUUAACGUACCCACGCAACUAAAAAGGGAAAAAUAACAUUAUAAUAAUUUCUACCUAUUGAUCACUUUGAAGUCGGUGUCAAGCCUGUGAUCUAUUAAUUCAAGGCGUAUCGUAAAGAUUUUUGUCUCAGACAUUCUUUUUGUCAUUCAUGUGGUUUUUUCAUAAACGAAAAAAACGAACAAAGUGAUCCAUAGGUAGUAAAUGUUAUUUUUCAGUUUCGUGGGAACGUUUAAGUUUUGAAGUCGAAUCUACUCAGCAUUAGAAUUAAAAUCUACGAGUUAUCAAUAAAUACUCUGUGAAUCUUUACUUUCUAAACAUACUAAUAUUAUACAGGUAAAGUUUGUGGGAUUGUAAGGGUUAAUCUCUGGAUCUACUUAACCGAUAUUCAAAAUUCUUUUAACACUAUAAAGCCUCGUUAUUUGUGAGUGUUAAAUGCUAUAAUUUAUCUCCGUAUUCUCACGGGAACGGGAAUUACGCGGGUGAAACCGCGGGGCUAGUCUAUACUAAUAUUGUAAAAAGGUAAAAUUUGUGAGGUUUUAGAGGGUAGACUCUGGAUCUACUGAACUGAAUUUAAAUAUUCUGUUAAUAAUAGAAAACUACAUUAUUUAUUAGUAUUAUAAGCUAUAUUUUAUCCCCAUACUCCGAGGAGAAAACCUUUAAUUUGGAAUUGUAAGGGGUUAUCUCUGGAUCUACUAAACCGAUUUAGAAUAUUUUUUUACCAAUAAAAAGCUACGUUAUUUGCGAGUGUCGUAGGCUAUUCUAUCCACAUAUUCUCUCGGAAACGGGAACUACGCGAGUAAAACCGCGGGGCGUCUUUUAAAAUAUUAUAAUGAGGUAAAGGUAUUGUAGGGGUAAUCUCUGGAUGUACUGCACCGAUUUUGAAAAAUUUUUAUACCACUAGAAAGCCACGUUAUCUGUGAGUGCCUUAAACUAUAUAUUAUCCUCAUACUCUUAAGGAAACAGGCAUUACAUGACUGAAACCGCGGGGCCUCUACUAAAAUACUAUAAAAAGGUAAAGUUUUGGGUAUUGUAGGGGGUAAUCGCUUGAUCUACUACACCGAUUAUGAAAAUUAUUUUAACAUACUAGAAAGCUCCAUUAUUUGUUAGUUUUACAGGCUUCAUAUUCCCACGGAAAAGAGAAUUACGCGUGCGAACCUGCGAGACGUCGGCUAAUGAUGAAUAUAUCACCCCUAUUUUCUCACCCUUAGGGUAGUAACUUUUUUUUUUAAACUAAUAUGAGACUAAUUUUGAAGUCAUAUCUUAUAAAAGAAAAAUUAUUAAAAUCUGACUUUAUAUAAAAAGUUAUUCGUGGGUUUACUUUACAAUUAAUGGGUAGGUAUACAUUCAAUUAGGGUUAGAUUUUUUUUCCUAUUUGAAAUUUAUAUGGGACCUAAUUCGAAAUAUAUUUUUUUUUCAUUAUAUUUCCUUUCUAACAAAACAAAAUUAUCAAAACGGACUGCUCAGGAUUGUGAUGUUUGGAAGUCCCUACAAAAGGCCUAUGUCCUACAGUGGACGUCCAUCGGCUGAUAUGAUGAUGACGAUGAUGAUAAAUUUGGAAAAAAAAUCCAACUCUAUGGUUAGGAAAACAGGGGAUGAUUGAGUGUAUACCCAUUAAUUGUAAAGUAAAACUACGCAGAACUUUCUUAUAGUGAAGUAGAUUUUGAUUUUUGAUUUGGCUAGGCAUUUCACCCAAGCACAUAAAACGCGCUGCCUUGGCCCACGCGCCUAAUUAUACCCCGGCCUUCGGCCGGGGGUUUGUGGUAGGGCCUCCGACCGUGGCCGCCGCAUUAUACCCAAGCACAUAAAAAGCGCAAAAUCCGGCCGCGCACCGAAUAGCUCAAAGCAAAAGCGGGACCGGAGCGGAAAAAUAGCUCACAACGCGUUCUGGUCACAAUAAAACAUCAAAUGUCGGUCUGUCUGUCUGUGUGUAUGUUCGUUAUAGGAACAAAAACUGCUCAACGGAUUUUAACGAAACUUGGUACAAUUAUUCUUCAUACUCCUGGAUAUAGUAUACUUUCAUCACACUACGAUCAAUAGGAGCAGAGUAGUGAAGGGUAAACGUAUGUAGGGAAAACGGGAGAAGUUACUCCCGUUUUCGUAAGAAGAGGUUUAAGGGCGGACGAAGUCGCGGCCAUCCGCUAGUCUUCUAAAAUAGUAGAUUGUUAUACAAGGGGCUAAAAAGACCCAUCAUAUACGAGGUAUUUUUAGGGCCCGAGACGUAAGGCGAGGGCCGCCUAAAUAGAAACCGAGUUUAUAAUGGGUUUAGCCCCAUGUGUUACACUCUGCUUUUCACUACGAUUGCGAGACAAUAAAAUAGUUUAGUACAUGUUCAAUGAUUUAUUUUAAUUGAAAAUUAAAUGUACAAAGUCUACAAUUUUGGAUAUUAAGGACAAUGCUUUUACCCGGUAACAUAAUUUCCGACUACUGUGAAGAUGAAUAAUGAGUAUGUGAGGUAAACGUGGGAGAUAAUAGUUUAAAAAACUCCUUUCGUCAACCAUGCAGAAGUAUUCAGCAACACAGUCUACAUCUCUCUAUCGAUGCAUUUGAAGACAUGCGAACGAUUUAGAAUGGACCAUAAUUAUAGUGUCCCACCUAUUAACAUUGAUAAUGGCUUUUUCACUGCUGAAAUAAUAUUAUUCAUGAACAAUUUGUUUGACAGCCUUGAUGGUGGUGGUCAUAAAAGUACCAGUUUACGUAAUGCUUUAUCUUUAGAAUCAGAUCACUUUCAGUUUUGGAAUGAAGCAGUGAAAAAAUUACAAUCAAUGAAAUUUGAUGCUACAGGCUCAAGAAAAAUGAGGCCAAUUUCAUUACGUAACUUUUGUCACGAUAUAAAAACCGUAAAGAUUUUAAAAACAUUUCAGGCGUUAACUUCUUGAGUCUUCAGCAAUUAAACCAGGAUCCCCUGGAAUUUUUUUCACAAAUCAGAGGUCAUGGUGGCUCUAAUACACGCCCAGAUUGUCACAAUUUUAUUACGUCAUUUAAGACAUUGUUAAUUAAUGAUAUGACAUCUGAUAGUUCUAUAUAUGCAAAUUGUUCUCGCGAUAAAGAUAAAAUGCUCGGUUCUCUCAGGAGUUUAAUUAAUAGACCAAAAAUAGAUAUUCAAUGUAUUGAUUACACAUCUCAACAUCAAAAUUUAGAUUUCAUAGAUACUUGUAUUCCUUCCGAAAACGUUUUUCAAACUCAAGCUGUGUUUUUGCAGGUGCAAUUUGCAGAUAUUUAUUUUCAAAACUAGAUAGUGCAGACUGCCAAAGUUGUAAAAAUGCACUAUUGUCUGAUGUAAAUGAACCAUUUCACUCUUUAAUUGAAUCCAGAGAAUAUAAUGCAAGUACCAGAAUUUUUUAUCAUCCGUCUUGUAAUCUUUUGAGUCUUGUAUGACAAUGUAUUUAUUUAAUUGAAGAAAUAUUGCCAAAAAUUUGUAACGUUUACAUUUACACAGAUUUAAUUAACGUAUUUAAAAAUCGGCUCGAUACUUCUUUCUUAUCUUGUGCAAGCAUAAAUUGGAUUUUUUUAACGCUUUUUGGUUGUUUGUCAUUAGAAUGCAAGUCAGACAAUGGUGUAUUAAUUUUAAUAGGAAGAUGGACAAUGUAGAUACUAGAAAGAAAGGAAAGGAAAUGGAAGAUAUGCUUAAAAAUAAAGUAAGUUAAGGUGCUAGCUAUAGAUCUACACACCACCAAAGUCAGUAAUUUUUUCAUACCGUAUGUUUAUAUUCAUAUUUUCUUAACUUGGAAUUUAAAUUAAAGAUUAUUUUUCAUGCUAUUUAUCAGUCUUUCAAAUUUCCAUUUUGAAUUCUUUUGUAAGAGUAAGUUAUUAGGUAUUUGUAUUCUAUUAUUAUAUAUUUUUUUUUGUUAGACUAUUAUUAUAGAUUUUUGUUUGUUAAGAGCUAACUCAAAAACUUACACUACUGAUUUUAGAAAUCCACUCUUUACUAGAAAGCUACAUCUGUAACAUAUACAGGGUGCUCGGGAGUAUUUCCCAUAACUUCAAGGUGUCGACGAGUCCACAUAAAGAAACCGAACUGCAUAACUAAUAUUUUUUUUAACUAAUAAAUAAAAUCUUUUUAUGUCUUCAUACAUUAAAAUACGUAAAACUUGGCUACGUCAUAAUUAUAAAUAUGUAUUAAUGUAUUAUGUACGUCAUUAUAUAAAUUUAUUAUUAUGUAUUAAUUUUCGUUAAAGAGUAGUAACCCCAGAGUUAUAGGAAAUACUGCCAAGCACCCAUUAUAAUCAAAACUACUAUUCCGGUAAAACCAUGGUCAAGUCUGCUAGUAAUAUACAUAUAAUUAAGUAUAAGUCCUAACAAAUCUGCCUCCUGUGAUAUCCUGUCCUUUUUGUACUUUUAAUUAGAAAUCUUGCUCUUUGUAUUACAUUCUAAUGUAUAUUGUAAAAAAAUUGCUAAAUUUGUAAAAAAAAUGUUUAAUACUGAAACAAUGUGGGAUUUUCACAAUAUUGUACGUGCUUUGUGUUUUUAUUGUUUUUAAAACUAUAAUUUUGCAAAACUCACAAUCUUUGUUUUGUAUGACAAUAAAUUACAUAAUUUUUAGGUAACCUUACUUACACUUACUUAUUUUUAUUAUAAUGGUCUCUGAUCCGGCAUUAGAAAUAUAUACCCUCAUAUGUUUUUAGUGAUGAUAAAUAAUAUUUACAGAGACACAUUAUAAAGAGGUUGCCUAUUAUACUUAAGUUAAAAUGAUUGUUUUAUAAUUAAUAAUUUACAAGGUUAUGAGUUAAGGUUACAACAAUAUUAUGUUGAUUCUGUUACACUGUUCUGUCUCAAAUUUAUUUGUUUAUUGAAUCCUCAUAAUGUUAUAGAAAAACAAUAUGUAAGUGAUUUUCCAACAGCCUAAAAUUUGUAUGUACACAAUAUUUGUAAUUUUGGGGAUUGUGAAUGAUAAUUACAAUUGUAAAUAAUGUUUUUUUUUUAAAGAGCAACCACUGAGUUUCUUGCCGGCUCUUAGUAGAAUCUGCCUUCCGAACCGGUGGUAGUCACUACACAAUUAACAGACAAUAACAAAAUAAAUAGAUUUAAAUACAUUAAA